CAGUCGCCGCGGGAAUACGAGGGGGGCAAGCGUUGUUCGGAAUUACUGGGCGUAAAGCGCACGCAGGCGGUCUGUCAAGUCAGAUGUGAAAUCCCAGGGCUCAACCUUGGAACUGCCUUUGAAACUAUCAGUCUGGAGUUCGAGAGAGGUGAGUGGAAUUCCGAGUGUAGAGGUGAAAUUCGUAGAUAUUCGGAGGAACACCAGUGGCAAAGGCGGCUCACUGGCUCGAUACUGACGCUGAGGUGCGAAAGCGUGGGGAGCAAACAGGAUUAGAUACCCCUGUAGUCCCUGUCUCUUAUAC
rnacentral:rRNA from 1 species